rnacentral:rRNA from 1 species
UGCCAGCAGCCGCGGUAAUAAGAAGGGACCUAGCGUAGUUCGGAAUUACUGGGCUUAAAGAGUUCGUAGGUGGUUAAAAAAGUUGGUGGUGAAAUCCCAGAGCUUAACUCUGGAACUGCCAUCAAAACUUUUUAGCUAGAGUAUGAUAGAGGAAAGCAGAAUUUCUAGUGUAGAGGUGAAAUUCGUAGAUAUUAGAAAGAGUACCAACUGCGAAGGCAGCUUUCUGGAUCAUUACUGACGCUGAGGAACUAAAGCAUGGGUAGCGAAGAGGAUUAGAUC